GGCAAGAUGUUGGCAUAGCUG
rnacentral:miRNA from 2 species